GACAGAGGUGCCGAGCGUUAGGCGGAAUCACUGGGCUUAAAGCGUGUGUAGGCGGGUCGUUAAGUGUCUUGUGAAAUCCCACCGCUCAACGGUGGAACUGCUGGGCAUACUGGCGAUCUUGAGCCACCUAGGGGCAGACGGAACAAGCGGUGGAGCGGUGAAAUGCGUAGAUAUCUGGAGGAACACCGGUGGCGAAGGCGACAUCCUGGACCAACACUGACGCUGAGUGAGCGAAAGCCAGGGGGAGCAAAACGGGG
rnacentral:rRNA from 1 species